GCCGCCGUCCUCCAUUCCGUUCUUCCUCAGCUCCCGUCGGUGGUGCUUGAAAGAGUCCGUUUUGGUGCUGGCCUUCUUCAGGUCGUCAAGUUCGCCUUGGCGCGCGGUGCUUCUCUUCUUCAUCGUCAGGUCGUCAAGUUCAUCUUUGUGGUACGUGUUUCUCUUCUUCAGGCCGUCAAGUGCGUCUUAGUGGAAGUUCAAGUUCGUCUUGGUGGUUCUCUGCUCUUUUCCGGUCAUCUUGGUGUCUCGGUGCUGCUCUUCAACUUCAUUGCCAGGUUCGGUGCUGGUCUUCUUGAGGUCGUUAAGAGUUAA
rnacentral:lncRNA from 2 species